GCGUUAACGAACGAGACCUCAGCCUGCUUACUAGCUAUGCGGAGGUGACCCUUCGUGGCCAGCUUCUUAGAGGGACUAUGGCCGCUUAGGCCACGGAAGUUUGAGGCA
rnacentral:rRNA from 1 species